CAUUGCUUGAGGAAAGUCCGAGCACCACAAGGCAGAGUGCUGGCUAACUACCAGUCAAGGUGACUUGAAGGAAAGUGCAACAGAAAUAAACCGCCAACAUUGUUGGUAAGGGUGGAAAGGCGAGGUAAAAGCUCACCGUCCCUUAGGCGACUAGGGGAGCCAUGUAAACCCCACUCGGUGCAAGAGAAAAUGACAUAUCGGUAGCCUGCCGUGUCAGAAAAUCGCUCGAACGUGCUGGCAACAACACGUCUAGAUAGAUGAACAUCCAAUACAGAACUCGGCUUAUAGAUUAUCUCA
rnacentral:RNase_P_RNA from 1 species